UAUAACUCUGAUCGGUGGAUCACUC
rnacentral:rRNA from 2 species